UCCUGUCUUUGGCAGCACAUAUGCAAAAUUAGAUCAAUACAGAGAAGAUCUGCACAGCCCCUGGGUAAGGAUGACACACAAAUUCACAACGUGCUUCAUAUUUUU
rnacentral:snRNA from 1 species